GAUGAACGCUGGCGGCGUGCCUAAUACAUGCAAGUCGAACGAGGUGCUUUUGUAGCAAUACGAGGGUAUCCUAGUGGCGAACGGGUGAGUAACGCGUUGGUGACCUGCCCCGAAGUGUGGGAUAACAGUCCGAAAGGAUUGCUAAUACCGCAUGUGGCCAUCGGGUUUAGAAACCGAUGUCUAAAGCAGCAAUGCGCUUUGGGAGGGACCUGCGUCCCAUCAGCUAGUUGGUGAGGUAACGGCUCACCAAGGCGACGACGGGUAGGGGGCCUGAGAGGGUGGCCCCCCACAAUGGAACUGAAACACGGUCCAUACACCUACGGGCGGCAGCAGUAGGGAAUAUUGCACAAUGGGCGAAGGCCUGAUGCAGCAACGCCGCGUGAGCGAAGAAGGCCUUCGGGUCGUAAAGCUCUUUUCUGGGAGAUGAGAAAGGACAGUAUCCCAGGAAUAAGUCUCGGCUAACUACGUGCCAGCCGCCGCCGUAAGAC
rnacentral:rRNA from 1 species